rnacentral:rRNA from 1 species
CACAUGCAAGUCGAGCGGGGAGACUUUUCGGCACCGGCUAUUGAGGCGGGCGGAGGCGCGAGGGCGAAGGAAGCGGAAGCGGAACAAACGCGGGGAACUGCGGAUGGGACGAGGAAGCGGAGAUUGCGGGCGCAGGCGCAAGGGAACGGAACCGAGGCAAUGCCAAGGGGAAGGGACCAAGGGGUCACAAGAGCGGGUGCUGAGAAGACUUCCAGCGGCGGACGGGUGAGUAACGCGUGAACAAUCUGUCCCAGACAGGGGGAUAACAGAUGGAAACAUCUGCUAAUACCGCAUAAGACCACGUGCCCGCAUGGGUGUGGGGUAAAAGGAGCAAUCCGGUUUGGGGUGAGUUCGCGUCUGAUUAGCUAGUUGGUGAGGUAACGGCCCACCAAGGCGACGAUCAGUAGCCGACCUGAGAGGGUGAUCGGCCACACUGGAACUGAGAAACGGUCCAGACUCCUACGGGAGGCAGCAGUGGGGAAUAUUGGGCAAUGGGCGAAAGCCUGACCCAGCAACG